rnacentral:rRNA from 1 species
CCAAAAUUUGUUUUAUCACUUUCCACCUCAAAUCAAGUAGGACUACCCGCUGAACUUAAGCAUAUCAAUAAGCGGAGGAAAAGAAACCAACAGGGAUUGCCUUAGUAGCGGCGAGUGAAGCGGCAAAAGCUCAAAUUUGAAAUCUGGUACUUUCAGUAUCCGAGUUGUAAUUUGUAGAAGCAACUUUGGUGAUGGUCUUUGCAUAAGUUCCUUGGAAUAGGACGUCAUAGAGGGUGAGAAUCCCGUUUAUGGUGAAGAACCCACACUAUGUAAAGUGCUUUCGAAGAGUCGAGUUGUUUGGGAAUGCAGCUCAAAGUGGGUGGUAAAUUCCAUCUAAAGCUAAAUAUUGGCGAGAGACCGAUAGCGAACAAGUACUGUGAAGGAAAGAUGAAAAGAACUUUGAAAAGAGAGUGAAAAAGUACGUGAAAUUGUUGAAAGGGAAGGGAUCUAAAUCAGACAUGGUAUUUUGUGAUCAACAGUCUUUCGGGACUGUGCACUCGCAUUUUACUAGGCCAGCAUCGGUUAGAAGGGGGUAAAAAAGAUUUUGGAAUGUGGCUCCUCGGAGUGUUAUAGCCAAGGUUAAUUGCCCCAUUUCUGACCGAGGACCGCGUCUUUUGACUAGGAUGCUGGCGUAAUGGUUUUGAUCCACCCGUCUUGAAACACGGACCAAGGAGUCUAACGUCUAUGCGAGUGUUUGGGUGUAAAACCCGUACGCGUAAUGA